AUAUAAUAGCUUUAUUAAUUAAUUAAAAAUAAAAUAAUAUUAUUUUAAGUAUUUAUUAAAGAAAAAAUAAUAGAGAAUUAUAGAAAAUUAGUAAUGAAAAUGAAAGGUAAAAUAAUUUUGAAAAUAUAAAUAUAAUAAAAGAAAUUUUUAGUUAAUGUACCUUUUGUAUCAGGGGUUAUUUAAUAAAUAAUAUAAAGUAUAUUAAUCUCGAAAUAAAAAGAUUUAAUUUAAUAUUUUUUUUAUUGUAAUAAAAUUAUUUAAAAUAUUAAGUUAGAAGUUAUAAAUUAAUCGGAUUUUAUUAUAUCUAGUUUUUUAAGAAAUAAAUUAAAUUUAGCUUAUUAUUUUUAUUUAAAAUUAUUUAAUAAUAAAAUAAUAAAAAGUAAGUUAUAUAAUAAGGGAUAAGCUUUAUUAUAUUUUUAUAAAAUAAUUUAAUAGUAGAAAGUAGUUAUAUAUUCUUAGAAAUAGAAAUUAUAUAUUAGUAUGUUAUAAUUUAAUUAUACUUGUAGUAAAUACAUAUUAUUUAUUUUUUUUUUAAAAUAAUAUAUUAAAAUAUUUAAUUUAAUUAAGAAAAUUAAAGGGAUAAUAAUAAUAUUAGUAUAUAUAAAAUUUAAUUUUUAUUAUAAAAAUUUAAUAUAAAUUUAAUUAAAUAAAUAUAAGGAAUUCGGCAAAUUUAAUGUUCACCUGUUUAUUAAAAACAUCUCUUUUAGAGUUUUAUUUAAGGUUUAAUCUGCCCACUGAAGUUUAAAGGGCCGCAGUAUAUUAACUGUGCAAAGGUAGCAUAAUCAUUAGUUUUUUAAUUGAGAGCUAGAAUGAAUGAUUGGAUGAAAUAUUUACUGUCUUAUAUUUAUUAUUAUAGAAUUUUAUUUUUUAGUUAAAAAGUUAAAAUAAGAUAAAAAGACGAGAAGACCCUAUAGAUCUUUAUAUAUUUUAUUAAUUUAAUAAUUAUUAGUUAUUUUUUAUUUUGAUUUAUAAGUGUAUUAUAUUGGGGUAAUAAUAAAAUUAAAAAAAUUUUUAUUUAAUAAAACAAUAAAUAUAUGUAUUUUUGAUCUUGUAUUAUUGAUUAAAAGAAAAAGUUACCUUAGGGAUAACAGCAUAAUGAUUUUUGAGAGUUCUUAUUGAUAAAAUAGUUUGUGACCUCGAUGUUGAAUUAAAAUAAAUUUUAGGUGCAGAAGUUUAAAUAAUUAGGUCUGUUCGACCAAUAAUAUUUUACAUGAUUUGAGUUUAGACCGGCGUAAGCCAGGUCAGUUUCUAUCUUUUAUUAAAAAAAUAUAUUUUAGUACGAAAGGAUUAAAUAUAUAAUAAAUUUUAUUAAAUAUUUAGAAAGAAUAAUAAUAAUAGAUAAUUAAAA
rnacentral:rRNA from 1 species